rnacentral:rRNA from 1 species
UACGAAGGGUGCAAGCGUUACUCGGAAUUACUGGGCGUAAAGCGUGCGUAGGUGGUUUGUUAAGUCUGAUGUGAAAGCCCUGGGCUCAACCUGGGAAUUGCAUUGGAUACUGGCAGGCUAGAGUGCGGUAGAGGAUGGCGGAAUUCCCGGUGUAGCAGUGAAAUGCGUAGAUAUCGGGAGGAACACCAGUGGCGAAGGCGACUUCCUGGCCUGUUCUUGACGCUGAGGCGCGAAAGCUAGGGUAGCAAACGGG